AACAUGACCAAAAAGAAGCCAACAGCUAUGAGGAUCAUCCCUGCUAGUUUCAUUCCCACGAAGUGGGCUCCAUACAACACUACAUCCAAAGCUGGAGAUGAACACAAUGCAUAUGUCAUUAUCAGGCUCUCAUGGUCAAUACACAGCAGAGUUCUUCCUAAGCAGCUUUUUCCUUGUGAUUGAAACUGGAACAGCUGUGAUGAGGCCGAGGGUGAUGAACAAAUCGUAAGUUAGUGCCACACUGAAGUUCCCCAGGAGAUUGGCAGCUGCAAAAGGAACAAGAGGAAGUGUGUGGUAUGAACACAUGAACUGUAAUACUGAAGUGCAAUACUGGCUUACGAGGAGUGGAACAGCAUGUAUGGCACAUUGGAAGGGAGAUGAAAGGAAGUGGUAGUUUCCCAUUUUGAGAACCUGCAGCUGCACAAGCAGCCAGCACCACACCACCCAGUGUGGGACUGCCAGUGAUGCCAUCCAUAUAAGCAAGCAGGGCUAUCCCCGUAUCACACAGGAUCACAGCCACAAUCUAGGGAUGAGAAUCAACUGCUGAAAAUGGAUUUUCAACACAAGAAACUUUGUUUGGUUUUACCUUCAUGAUAAUUUAAAAUUGGUCUUCUUUCUGUGGUUCCAAGAAAUGUAAGCCAGACUUCAGAACCUCUUUGUAAGCUGCAUGUACUGAACUUUCUGUAUAUCACCUACAGCCUCUUCAUUUCAGACAUUAGUUGAUUUUGUGAAAUUUUAUUCAUUACAAUUUUAUAGAAAAUCUCCUUCAUCUUGGAAAUUUCUAACUCCCUGACACCAAUAAUACUACUGUUAAGGGCAUGCAAACUAGUGAGAGGGAAACAUCAGUAUUAUUCAAUACAAGAGUAUGAAUCAUGUAUUAUGACAGAUACUAUAACAUGCAAGUUUCACCAAUAUCAUUUUUAAGAGAAAUAAAAAAUAUUACUACAGCAAUUGUGUGAAAUAUUUCGGUAACAUGAUUGAUGAAUCAUUGUAAUCUGUCUAUAAAAUUUGUCUGUGAUAUGUUAUAAA